GGCCGCCUGGCGUAAUGGCAACGCGUCUGACUACGAUUCCGUCCAAAAACUCGGGGUAUCACGUAAUCAGGAGAUUGCAGGUUCGACCCCUGCGGUGGUCA